AUCGAACGCUAGCGGGAUGCUUUACACAUGCAAGUCGAACGAGUGGCGGACGGGUGAGUAAUAUAUCGGAACGUGCCCAGUAGCGGGGGAUAACUACUCGAAAGCGUGGCUAAUACUGCAUACUAUGGGAGCGGCCGAUAUCGGAUGCGCUAGUUGGUGGGGUAAAGGCUCACCAAGGCAGCGAUCCGUAGCUGGGUUGAGAGGACGACCAGCGACACUGGGACUGCGACACGGCCCAGACUCCUACGGAAGGCAGCCGUGGGGAAUUUUGGACAAUGGGUGAAACGCUGAUCCAGCCAUCCCGCGGGUGUGAGAAGGCCUUCGGGUUGUAAAGUACUUUUGUCAGAGAAGCGGUAUCUGCAGAAUAAGCCCCGGCUAACUACGUGCCAGCAGCCGCGGUAAUAC
rnacentral:rRNA from 1 species